CAGGGAGACAACAAAAUGUUUAAUAUUAUUAUUUUGUCACCUUAGGUCGAUCGGUAUCUCACGUUUUUAAUUUAUUAAAAAUUUCAUUUCCUAAGUUUUCUAGGUCACACCCAUUAUUUUUCCUGGGCCAUUAGCUCAGGUGGUUAGAGCGCACCCCUGAUAAGGGUGAGGUCCCUGGUUCAAGUCCAGGAUGGCCCAUAUCUCUAUGUUGGGGGUAUAGCUCAGUUGGUAGAGCGCCUGCUUUGCAAGCAGGAUGUCAGCGGUUCGAGUCCGCUUACCUCCACUGAUUACCACCUCUUACAUAUUCUGUGGAAAGGAAAAUUUUGAGUUGUGAUCAAAUUCUGAACGAAUCUAGCUUCCUAAUGAAAUCAUUAAGAUGCUGGACUCAUUGAAUUAAUUUCAUUGUUUUCAGAGAACCUUGACAACUGCAUAGAUUAUUUUUAAAGACAAUAAGCAUCUUUGAUGAUGCAGAUUUAUUAUUUGUGCGAAUGCAUUAAUAACAAUUCUAUUAAGCUGAUGCUUCAAUUUUGAAGUUAUU
rnacentral:tRNA from 1 species